rnacentral:rRNA from 1 species
CCCCUAGAUGCUCUGGGCCGCACGCGCGCUACACUGGUCGAUGCAACGAGUUUCUUUCCUUGGCCGACAGGCCUGGGCAAUCUUUGAACAUCGAUCGUGAUCGGGAUAGAUUCUUGUAAUUUUUGAUCUUAAACGAGGAAUUCCUAGUAAACGCAAGUCAUCAGCUUGCAUUGAUUACGUCCCUGCCCUUUGUACACACCGCCCGUCGCACCUACCGAUUGAAUGGUCCGGUGAAAUCUCCGGACUGGCGUGAGUCGGAGCAAUCUGACAAACACCGGAAAGUUGAUUAAACCUUACCAUUUAGAGGAAGGUGAANUCGUAACA